UACGUAGGGGGCAAGCGUUGUCCGGAAUUACUGGGCGUAAAGAGCGCGCAGGCGGUCGAUCAAGUCGAGUGUGAAAGCCCCCGGCUCAACUGGGGAGGGUCAUUCGAUACUGAUCGACUCGAAGGCAGGAGAGGGUAGUGGAAUUCCCGGUGUAGUGGUGAAAUGCGUAGAUAUCGGGAGGAACACCAGUGGCGAAGGCGACUACCUGGCCUGUUCUUGACGCUGAGGCGCGAAAGCUAGGGGAGCAAACGGG
rnacentral:rRNA from 1 species